rnacentral:lncRNA from 1 species
AGUAUUCGGCUAACAUAGUGGAAAGGUGGUGUUGCCGAUUGCUAGAUUUAGACUAGGGGAGUGGCUGUAAUGGGCAUUAAGAUGUGGGACUUAAGAAAUGUAGUUAUAUGUGGACUUAAAUGAUGUUAUAGUUGACAUUGUACAUGUAUACAUGCAUUUCGGCCAUGGUCUUUGCUUGAAUUUGAGAUUUGUAAUGUGAUUUUCCUAAAUUG